rnacentral:rRNA from 1 species
CCUACGGGGGACAGCAGUGGGGAAUAUUGGACAAUGGGCGAAAGCCUGAUCCAGCCAUGCCGCGUGUGUGAAGAAGGCCUUCGGGUUGUAAAGCACUUUCAGUGGGGAAGAAAGCCUUGGGGCUAAUACCCUCGAGGAAGGACAUCACCCACAGAAGAAGCACCGGCUAACUCCGUGCCAGCAGCCGCGGUAAUACGGAGGGUGCGAGCGUUAAUCGGAAUUACUGGGCGUAAAGCGCGCGUAGGCGGUCUGAUAAGCCGGUUGUGAAAGCCCCGGGCUCAACCUGGGAACGGCCUCCGGAACUGUCAGGCUAGAGUGCAGGAGAGGAAGGUAGAAUUCCCGGUGUAGCGGUGAAAUGCGUAGAGAUCGGGAGGAAUACCAGUGGCGAAGGCGGCCUUCUGGACUGACACUGACGCUGAGGUGCGAAAGCGUGGGUAGCAAACAGGAUUAGAUACCCUAGUAGUC